CAAAGCAUUAUUCUCUCCCUGAGGGUCCUACAAGGCAAAUUAUUCAUUGCUGUCAGCUGGGGCAGUGACUUGGCAGGUCCAACAGUUUUGAGCCAGGCAAGGGCUACUGAGUGUUACUGCUGCUUCAGCUGCUCGCUCCCUACACCUCUGCUCUUAUCUACAAAACAAAGACCCAAUUCAUUGUUUUUCAGUCACACUUACUGGGAAUACUGAAAAUAACUGCCAAGGAUCCACAGCACCAAAGUCUGAACUUCUCUUCUUCAGGAUUACUCAAGCCAAAUCAAAUACACAGUUGGCUGUAGCAAAACAGAGGGAAGAAGAGAAGAAACAUUUUAUUUCAGCAAGCAUACUGCAUUACUUAUUCCAAGAUGGACUUAAGUGAACACUAAAGUAUGCACAAGCUUAUGCCCAUAAGGGAUUCUGCCCUUUUCUUCUCCCCCCACUAAGGCUAUUCAAAUCAUUAAGAAACUAUUUAGUCAAUAGUUCAAGCAACAUCAGAAAGAACAUAGUAAAAAAAGGGAAUUGAAAAAUUAAAACUUAAUAACCUCUGGUUUUCCUAAAAGCUUUAUAUUUUAAAAUAA